rnacentral:rRNA from 1 species
AGAGAGAGACAUGCGUGCAUAUCAAUAAGCGGAGGAAAAGAAACUAACAAGGAUUCCCUUAGUAACGGCGAGUGAAGCGGGAAGAGCUCAAAUUUGAAAUCUUCCAAGGUUCUACCUUGACGAAUUGUUAGUUUAUAGAAGUGCUUUCUGUUAGUGGAGUGGCAAAAGUUCUUUGGAAUAGGACAUCAUAGAGGGUGAGAAUCCCGUAUUUGGUCAUUCCUCCUAGCAGUUGUGAUACACUUUCAACGAGUCGGAUUGUUUGGGAAUGCAGUCCAAAAUGGGUGGUAAAUUUCAUCUAAAGCUAAAUAUUGGCGAGAGACCGAUAGCGAACAAGUACCGUGAGGGAAAGAUGAAAAGAACUUUGAAAAGAGAGUUAAACAGUACGUGAAAUUGUCAAAGGGGAAGCGUUUGACACCAGUGUUGUUUUUUUCCGAAAAUCAAUUACGAAUGUUUUAUUUUUGAGGAGUUAUGACUUCAUCGGCUUGCUCCUUUCUUUAUGAAACUUUCUUAAUGCACUUUUCGGUUAACAAGUCAACAUCAAUUUCUUUUGUUGUAAGAGGGUAUGAGGAAGGUGGCUUUCUUUUCGGAGAAAGUGUUUAUAGCCUUGUGCCUCUGCAAUCGGAGAGAUUGAGGUCUGCAGCGUAGAUCCUUCGGGGUUAGAUACGUUUGUGCUAAGUUAUAGCUUUUUAUAGACAACUUGUUGACUAUGUUUAGUCUCGUAGCUUACUCGCUGACGCUAUUUUACCUACGCUUAGGAUGUUGAUAGUCACAGCGUGUAC